rnacentral:rRNA from 1 species
GACGUAGGGUGCGAGCGUUGUCCGGAUUUAUUGGGCGUAAAGAGCGUGUAGGCGGCCAGGUAGGUCUGCUGUGAAAACUCGAGGCUCAACCUCGAGACGUCGGCGGAAACCAUCUGGCUAGAGUCCGGAAGAGGAGAGUGGAAUUCCUGGUGUAGCGGUGAAAUGCGCAGAUAUCAGGAGGAACACCGGUGGCGAAGGCGGGUCUCUGGGCCGAAACUGACGCUGAGGAGCGAAAGCGUGGGGAGCGAACAGG